GCUGUAUAUCAGGGACAGAGCCAAAAACUUUUAUGUCAAGGUUUUAGAACUACAUUUGAACAAAGUAUAAUAUAAUUUGACAAUAAAGAGCUAUCUCGCUUUGCGAACCCAGAAUCAGAACAGAUGUAUAUAUACUAACCAGGAUGCCUAAAGAGAAUCCUGCAAUAACCGAGUUCUCCACCGAGACAGCUGCAAGAUCAAGAGUUCCAACAUGACCCGCGAACGUUUGAGUGAUGGCGCCAAGUGAGUAUUGACAAACAGAGGUGAAGAUAGCAGGACCAGCAAGGUACCAAAGCUUUUUUGACUCCACACCAAAUUGUACGAAGAAAUCAUUUAUACCUUUAAUCGGAUUGAUAUCAUCUGCAUCUCCAGUGAAGUGAGCAUUUGUUGUUACAUUUUUGGAUGUAAGAAGUGGAGUUUCCUGAUUAGUAUCCAUUGAAUUAUUAUUCCACAAGAGUGUGUGACAGGAAUGCAGAGUAUGUACAAUUAAAAUUUAAAUAUUAAGGCCUAUUGACAUAUUUAUGCUUGACAUAUAUUUAUUUA